rnacentral:rRNA from 1 species
AGAGUUUGAUCCUGGCUCAGAGCGAACGCUGGCGGCGUGCCUAACACAUGCAAGUCGAACGUGAAAAGGGGCAACCCUGAGUAAAGUGGCGUACGGGUGAGUAACGCGUAGGUAAUCUACCCCAAAGUCUGGAAUAACCUGCCGAAAGGCGGGCUAAUACUGGAUAGAGCGACGGAACUCGUAAAGAGUUUUUCGGGAAA